UCUCUCCGGAAUGCCAGUCACGGGUCCAAACUUUGUGUGUCCCAACCUCCCACAUGAUGAAAUGAUCCUUUUAAAAGCGAGCUCAAUAUGUCUCAAUCUGCAAUCCUCUCCCUCCUCUACCAAAGCCUUCUGGGGUUGGGGACGCAACACAAAAAUAAAUACAUAAAUAGACUGUGUCCAUGUAGCCUACGGUAUAUCUCCAAGUUAAAGCGCACUUUACUGUGGACAUUUUUUGGAAGCGCUCAAAGACUCGGCUGGAUCAAGACAAGUUCUGUCAACGACGUGUGGAUAAAGAUUCAUGGCAGGAAAAGGGGGAAAGGGAGCCGCUGCGUGUUGUGACAGCAUGGGCGUUCUCUUCUGCCUCCUCCUCCUCCUUCGCACUCAAGGCUUCAUUGAAGAACUUGAAGAUGGAUUCAAAACUCAUCCAGGAGAUCAGCGCAGUAGCACUUGCUCAUUCUCCCUGAACUGACGGUGAACUCCCCCGGCACGCAGCCAGCCUCUCCGCCCUAUCCCACCACGUUCGAGGGUCACCAUGGGGGUGUCUCUUUGCUAAUAUGCAGAUGAGCUGCUGCCCCUCCAAUGACUCGGAUGCUAAACUCCACCUCCCUCUAAAGGGUGGAGGAUCGAGAUCAAGUCUUCUCUCUUCAAUAAAACUUUUAUACAAACAAAA